rnacentral:tRNA from 1 species
GCGCUACUAGUUUAGUGGUAAAACACGUGCUUCCCAAGCAUGGGUCGUCGGUUCGAUUCCGACGUGGCGCACCA